UACGUAGGUGGCAAGCGUUGUCCGGAAUUAUUGGGCGUAAAGGGCGCGUAGGCGGCACUUUAAGUCAGAUGUGAAAACCCGGGGCUCAACCCCGGAGGUGCAUUUGAAACUGGAGAGCUUGAGUGCAGGAGAGGUAAGUGGAAUUCCUAGUGUAGCGGUGAAAUGCGUAGAUAUUAGGAGGAACACCAGUGGCGAAGGCGACUUACUGGACUGUAACUGACGCUGAGGCGCGAAAGCGUGGGGAGCAAACAGG
rnacentral:rRNA from 1 species